AUGGUUUUGUUCAUGGGUGAUGAUGUGUAUUUGUUCUCGCGUACGCUUCGGACGUUAAGGACUAUAAUCCUGGUCGAACACCGCAUAGUGCGCGAUAUUUAUAAUCCAUGCUAAUUAGUUGGUCAUUGGAUCCUAAUCCAUCUAAAUUAUAUUAUGCAUUUUUGUUUUUAUAUGGAAGUUAAGCACAUGAUAUAAUCAACCCAGCAAUAUUUAUAAAUCGGUAACCGCGUCCAGUUAACGUGUUUUGAGGUGGAGAUAAUGAUGCCCCAACUACUACAAGCUGACUUCUUCAAAUGGGUUGACAAAGAUUAAUGAUAAAAGGGGUAGAGAUUCCGGUUAACCGAAACAUAAUUACUAUGUACAACACCACACUUAGGAGUUAGGGUAUACGGUGUGGGACGCGGUGAAGGUCGGCAAAGAUGUUUGCCGAUCGGCAAACACCGCCGCCGACUAUGUCGGUACGCGGCAAACAAACAAAAUCGGUAAAGGUUUGCCGAUCGUUAACAUGAGAGAGGGUAGUGAGAGAGAGAGAGAGGGGAUAUUGUGGGUGGGGUCCAUUCCUAUCUCAACCAAUCACAAUUUUUUCCUUUUUUUUUUUUUGAAAAUAGUUUACCACUCAGCAAGUGUUUAAACCACUGCCAACAAUUUUCAGUAAAGUUUAAACACUUUUGCCUAAUUGACAUGGCAUGCUCUGAUUGGUCGGUUUUUUGGUUUGCCACUUUAAAGUGUUUAACCACUCCUUAUACCCUUAGGAUUAAUAUAGCACUUAAUUUCUUUUCUUUUCUUCUCUUCUCGAUCUUAUAUAUUUCUUAGUAUUUCUUAAGUUCCUUCCAGGCUCCGAAAGGCUAUUUUUUCAGGGAAACCGACUGGCCAUUCUGCGUGGAAAUGAGAUUAAGAAUGGUCGGAUUGGUGCAGUUUUAAUGUCUUGUAAAUUUCUUCUCAUGUAUUGUUUUGUCUAGCUUCUUGCUAGCUUUUUUCGUUUAAUGAAAUCAGCCGUUCAAAAAAAAAAAAAAAAAAAAAAACUGGUCACUGGAUCGUAAUCCAUUAUACGCAAUGCUUUAUAAUGAUGGGAAUUUACUCUGGACAACUAUAAUGAUGGGUCUUUGUAACGAUGCUAACUGGUCACUGUAGCGUGCAAUUAUUAUGAUUGGAGAUAACUAUGAUAUGCCAACAACACUUGUUCAUUUUAUAAUGUAAAUCUACUCUGGACAACUAUUAUUAUAAACGUACCUAGCUAUUUAUAAAACGGUAACAUGCAAUUU
rnacentral:lncRNA from 1 species